UAGCCAUGAUGUGGGCAAGAGUUUAACAAAUCUUUAAAACGUUCCCAACAUUGAUAAAAUGUCUCAUUUUCCUUUUGAACAAAAUUCAUGAUUAUUCUUUUAAGAGCAU